rnacentral:rRNA from 1 species
UACGUAGGUGACAAGCGUUGUCCGGAUUUACUGGGCGUAAAGAGCGCGCAGGCGGUCGAUCAAGUCGAGUGUGAAAGCCCCCGGCUCAACUGGGGAGGGUCAUUCGAUACUGAUCGACUCGAAGGCAGGAGAGGGUAGUGGAAUUCCCGGUGUAGUGGUGAAAUGCGUAGAUAUCGGGCGGAACACCAGCGGCGAAGGCGGCAUCCUGGCCCUUACCUGACGCUGAGGCGCGAGAGCGUGGGGAGCAAACCGG